UACGUAGGGUGCAAGCGUUAAUCGGAAUUACUGGGCGUAAAGCGUGCGCAGGCGGUUUGUUAAGACAGAUGUGAAAUCCCCGGGCUUAACCUGGGAACUGCAUUUGUGACUGGCAAGCUAGAGUAUGGCAGAGGGGGGGUAGAAUUCCACGGUGUAGCAGUGAAAUGCGUAGAGAUGUGGAGGAAUACCGAUGGCGAAGGCAGCCCCCCUGGGCCAAUACUGACGCUCAUGCACGAAAGCGUGGGGGAGCAAACAGG
rnacentral:rRNA from 1 species